GCCAUGCUAGCUCAAUCGGUAGAGCGUGAGACUUUUAUGAUUAGAGUACGCAAGUCCUCGACGUAUAAUUGCUUUAUUGUAAGGUGUAUCUCAAGGUUGCGGGUUCGACCCCCGCGUGGGGCU
rfam:Sphaerobolus stellatus SS14 unplaced genomic scaffold SPHSTscaffold_5, whole genome shotgun sequence.